rnacentral:rRNA from 1 species
GAUGAACGCUAGCGGCAGGCUUAAUACAUGCAAGUCGUGGGGCAGCAUGAAUGUAGCAAUACAUUUGAUGGCGACCGGCAAACGGGUGCGGAACACGUACACAACCUUCCUAUAAGUGGGGAAUAGCCCAGAGAAAUUUGGAUUAAUACCCCGUAACAUAACGAUGUGGCAUCACAUUGUUAUUAUAGCUUCGGCGCUUAUUGAUGGGUGUGCGGCUGAUUAGAUAGUUGGCGGGGUAACGGCCCACCAAGUCUACGAUCAGUAGCUGAUGUGAGAGCAGGAUCAGCCACACGGGCACUGAGACACGGGCCCGACUCCUACGGGAGGCAGCAGUAAGGAAUAUUGGUCAAUGGACGCAAGUCUGAACCAGCCAUGCCGCGUGAAGGAUUAAGGUCCUCUGGAUUGUAAACUUCUUUUGUCUGGGACGAAAAAAGGCUUUUCUAAGUCACUUGACGGUACCAGAUGAAUAAGCACCGGCUAACUCCGUGCCAGCCGCCGCGGUAACAC